ACAUCCAAGGAAGGCAGCAGGCGCGUAAAUUACCCAAUCCUGACACAGGGAGGUAGUGACAAUAAAUAACAAUGCCGGGCCUUUGUAGGUCUGGCAAUUGGAAUGAGAACAAUUUAAACCCCUUAUCGAGUAUCAAUUGGAGGGCAAGUCUGGUGCCAGCAGCCGCGGUAAAUCCAGCUCCAAUAGCGUAUAUUAAAGUUGUUGCAGUUAAAAAGCUCGUAGUUGGAUUUGUGGCUGUCUCGAGCGGCCUAGCACCUAGUGUUAGUGCCUGCUUGGGUCGCCAUCCUUGGGUGGAGCCUGUGUGGCAUUAGGUUGUCGUGCAGGGGAUGCCCAUCGUUUACUGUGAGAAAAUUAGAGUGUUCAAAGCAGGCUUAUGCCGUUGAAUAUGUUAGCAUGGAAUAAUAAGAUAGGACCUCGGUACUAUUUUGUUGGUUUGCGCACGAGGUAAUGAUUA
rnacentral:rRNA from 1 species